AUUGAACGCUGGCGGCAGGCCUAACACAUGCAAGUCGAACGAGUGGCGGACGGGUGAGUAAUGUCUGGGAAACUGCCUGAUGGCGGGGGAUAACUACUGGCAACGGUAGCUAAUACCGCAUACCAUCGGAUGUGCCCAGAUGGGAUUAGCUAGUAGGUGGGGUAACGGCUCACCUAGGCGACGCUCCCUAGCUGGUCUGAGAGGAUGACCAGCCACACUGGAACGGAGACACGGUCCAGACGCCUACGGGAGGCAGCAGUGGGGAAUAUUGCACAAUGGGCGCAAGCCUGAUGCAGCCAUGCCGCGUGUAUGAAGAAGGCCUUCGGGUUGUAAAGUACUUUCAGCAGGGAGGCGGUACCCGCAGAAGAAGCACCGGCUAACUCCGUGCCAGAAGCCGCGGUAAUAC
rnacentral:rRNA from 1 species